rnacentral:tRNA from 1 species
GCCUGGGUGGCUCAGUCGGUUGAGCAUCUGACUUCAGCUCAGGUCAUGUUCUCACAGUUUGUGAUUUUGAGUCCCACAUCAGGCU